AAACAAACAAAGAAAGAUACUUGCUGCAAUUGUUGUAUUAUUCCUUUCUUUCAUAUGGCUCUGUGAAAAGACAAGGGGAUGGAUUCUGCUCUCAGCUAAACAGGUUUGUGCCUUACUGCUCAAGUGAUAUCUGGAGUGGAACUUUGCCCAAGUCACAGCAAGGUAGGCAGCCAUCUUUAUGACACUACCCGCUUCUAGCAGAUCCUUUGACUCAGUCAGUGUUAACUCUGACUUUUUCUUCUAGCAGACUAUGCCUUCAUGGGAUCUCUAAUUAUCCAGGAGGUGAUUAAAGACCUGGUUCCUAAGGGAAUUAAGCAAGCUAAAGUGGUCCUGCUUGCUGGGGAAAGGAUGUGGAAUGGAAUCCUUCCAGAAGAAUGUAAACAGAAGUUCAAGAGAGUUAACGAGUGGCAGUGCCUCCUUGGGUAUAGAUUGUAUUCAUCCUUGAAAUAGCUGUGUUUG
rnacentral:lncRNA from 1 species